rnacentral:rRNA from 1 species
UACGUAGGGGGCAAGCGUUGUCCGGAAUCAUUGGGCGUAAAGAGCGCGUAGGCGGCCCUGUAAGUCCGCUGUGAAAGUCAAGGGCUCAACCCUUGAAUGCCGGUGGAUACUGCAGGGCUAGAGUCCGGAAGAGGCGAGUGGAAUUCCCGGUGUAGCGGUGAAAUGCGCAGAUAUCGGGAGGAACACCUAUGGCGAAGGCAGCUCGCUGGGACGUUACUGACGCUGAGACGCGAAAGCGUGGGGAGCAAACAGG